GCUGCGCUCGGGCCGGACUGGGCGGGAGGAGCCGCGCCGGGCGACCCUGCCCCCGCGCCCCGCUGCGCCGCGCCCGCUCUGCCCCCGGGGAAGGAUGGGACUUCUGUGGUGUGUGAUGAGUCUCUACUUCUAUGGGAUCCUGCAGAGUGAUGCCUCAGAACGCUGCGAUGACUGGGGACUAGAUACCAUGAGGCAGAUCCAAGUGUUUGAAGAUGAGCCAGCUCGCAUCAAGUGCCCACUCUUUGAACACUUCUUGAAAUACAACUACAGCACAGCCCAUUCAGCUGGCCUUACUCUGAUCUGGUAUUGGACGAGGCAGGACCGGGACCUGGAGGAGCCAAUUAACUUCCGCCUCCCUGACAACCGCAUUAGUAAGGAGAAAGAUGUGCUCUGGUUCCGACCCACCCUCCUCAAUGACACGGGCAACUAUACCUGCAUGUUAAGGAACACUACAUAUUGCAGCAAAGUUGCAUUUCCUCUGGAAGUGGUUCAGAAAGACAGCUGCUUCAAUUCCUCCAUGAAACUCCCACUGCAUAGACUGUAUAUAGAGUACGGUGUUCAGAAGAUCACAUGUCCAAAUGUAGAUGGAUUCUUUCCUCCCACUGUCAAACCAACUAUCACUUGGUACAUGGGCUGUAAGAAAAUAAAAAACUUUAAUAAUGUGAUACCUGAAGGCAUGAACUUGAGUUUUCUUAUAGCCUUGGUUUCAAACAAUGGAGAUUACACGUGCGUUGUUACAUAUCCAGAAAAUGGGCGUAUCUUCCAUCUGACUAGGACUCUAACUGUAAAGGUGGUAGGCUCUCCAAAAGAUGCAUUGCCUCCUCAGAUCUAUUCACCCAAUGAUCUUGUGGUCUACGAGAAAGAACCGGGAGAGGAGCUACUCAUCCCCUGUACAGUCUAUUUUACUUUCCUGAAGGACGCUCGCAAUGAGGUUUGGUGGACCAUUGACGGAAAAAAGCCAGAUGACACCAGUAUUGAUGUAACUGUUAAUGAAAGUGUAAGUUUGACUGCAACUGAAGAUGAAAUGAGAACUCAGAUUUUGAACAUCAAAAAAGUUUCUGCUGAGGAUCUCAAGCGCAACUAUGUCUGUCAUGCUAGAAAUGCCAAAGGAGAGGUUGACAAAGCAGCCAAGGUGAAGCAGAAAGCUCCAAGAUACACAGUGGAAUUAGCAUGUGGUUUUGGAGCUACAGUCCUGCUGGUAGUGAUUCUCAUUGUUGUUUACCACGUUUACUGGCUGGAGAUGGUCUUAUUUUACCGGGCUCAUUUUGGAACAGAUGAAACCAUUUUAGAUGGAAAGGAAUAUGAUAUUUAUGUAUCUUACGCAAGGAACGCUGAGGAAGAAGAGUUUGUGUUACUGACCCUCCGUGGAGUUUUGGAGAAUGAAUUUGGAUACAAGCUGUGCAUCUUUGACCGUGACAGUCUACCUGGGGGAAAUACAGUGGAAGCAGUUUUUGACUUCAUUCAGAGAAGCCGAAGGAUGAUUGUUGUCCUGAGCCCAGACUAUGUGACAGAAAAAAGCAUCAGCAUGCUGGAGUUUAAACUGGGCAUCAUGUGCCAGAACUCCAUUUCCACCAAGCUCAUUGUGGUUGAGUACCGCCCCCUUGAGCAUCCACACCCAAGCAUUCUACAGCUGAAGGAAUCUGUGUCUUUUGUGAGCUGGAAAGGAGAAAAGUCCAAACAUUCUGGCUCUAAAUUCUGGAAGGCCUUGAGGUUGGCUCUUCCCCUGAGAAGUCUGAGUGCCAGCUCUGGCUGGAAUGAAAGCUGUUCUUCCCAGUCUGACAUCAGUCUGGACCAUGUUCAAAGGAGGAGAAGUCGUUUGAAAGAGCCCCCAGAACUCCAGGGCACAGAGAGAGUUGCAGGCACCUCUGCAGCUCCAGAUACAAUGUCCAAGCACAGAGGGAAGCCCUCUGCAGCCUGUCGCUGCUGUGUUACCUACUGUGAAGGAGAGAGUCACCUUAGGAGCAAGAGUCGGGCAGAGAUACAUACCCAGCCCCAGUGGGAAACACACCUCUGAGACAAAAGACCUGAGGACCUGAAUCCAGAAUUAUUGCCUCUAACGGCCUCAGAAGAGCACACUCUUCUUGAGCCCUAGAAGGUUAAAUGGAUAUCAUUUACAUAGAAAUAUUGCCUAUUUAGGAGCAGGAGUUUUAAAUCAAGUAGAGAUGAAUUGGCUUUAGGUAAUUCUCUAAAAAUGUGAUGCUCAAACCAUCUGUCAAUGAGCCAUUUCAUUUUUGAAUAUCCAGGGAGCCUCAGAAGGAUUGAAGACAUUUAGAACACAGCAGAGCAUGUAACACAGUCAUUAGAAAGCCUCCCUUGAUCCAUUUAUCUGAAGAGCUAAAUGAGGAAUUCGCACUGAACAUGCUAGAGCUCAGAUGAAGGAAGAGACAAAUGCUGUUGUGGAUAUUAUGAAAUCAGUUGCUAUCUAUGCUUCUUCUGUCUCUACAAUUUGGAUCCUCUGUAUUAAAGAUUUGAAUUUUUAUGACA